CCCUUAGAUGUUCUGGGCUGCACGCGCGCUACACUGAUACUUUCAGCGAGUCCACCACCUUGCCUGGGAAGGUGGGGUAACCUCUGGAAAGUGCAUCGUGAUGGGGAUCGAUUAUUGUAAUUAUUAAUCUUCAACGAGGAAUUCCUAGUAAGCAUGUGUCAUCAGCCCGUGCUGAUUACGUCCCUGCCCUUUGUACACACCGCCCGUCGCUCUUACCGAUUGAAUGUUCCGGUGAGCUCUUCGGACUGCGCGGUCUGCAGUUUCUGCGUUCCGUGCGGAAAGUUGCGCAAACCUUAACAUUUAGAGGAAGGAGAAGUCGUAACA
rnacentral:rRNA from 1 species